GAUGAACGCUGGCGGCGUGCCUAAUACAUGCAAGUCGAGCGAACAGACGAGGAGCUUGCUCCUCUGACGUUAGCGGCGGACGGGUGAGUAACACGUGGAUAACCUACCUAUAAGACUGGGAUAACUUCGGGAAACCGGAGCUAAUACCGGAUAAUAUAUUGAACCGCAUGGUUCAAUAGUGAAAGACGGUUUUGCUGUCACUUAUAGAUGGAUCCGCGCCGCAUUAGCUAGUUGGUAAGGUAACGGCUUACCAAGGCGACGAUGCGUAGCCGACCUGAGAGGGUGAUAGGCGACACUGGAACUGAGACACGGUCCAGACUCCUACGGGAGGCAGCAGUAGGGAAUCUUACGCAAUGGGCGAAAGCCUGACGGAGCAACGCCGCGUGAGUGAUGAAGGUCUUCGGAUCGUAAAACUCUGUUAUUAGGGAAGAACAAAUGUGUAAGUAACUAUGCACGUCUUGACGGUACCUAAUCAGAAAGCCACGGCUAACUACGUG
rnacentral:rRNA from 1 species